GACGAACGCUGGCGGCGUGCUUAACACAUGCAAGUCGAACGGGCCCGCCCCUGUUUUUGGGGGUGGGUUGAGUGGCGAACGGGUGAGUAUCACGUGAGUAACCUGCCCCCUGCUCCUGGAUAACUGCUUGAAAGGGCGGCUAAUACGGGGUGUGCCGGCUGGUCCGCAUGGGCCUGGUCGGGAUAGUUUCAUCUUCGGGUGUUUCGGUGGGGGAUGGGCUCGCGGCCUAUCAGCUUGUUGGUGGGGUGAUGGCCCACCAAGGCGGUGACGGGUAGCCGGCCUGAGAGGGUGGGCGGCCACACUGGGACUGAGACACGGCCCAGACUCCUGCGGGAGGCAGCAGUGGGGGGUAUUGCACAAUGGGCGGAAGCCUGAUGCAGCGACGUCGCGUGAGGGAUGAAGGCCUUCGGGUUGUGAACCUCUUUCUCCGGUGGUGAAGGCCCUGUCCGUUGCGGCGGGGUUGACGGUAGCCGGGUAUGAAGCGCCGGCUAACUACGUG
rnacentral:rRNA from 1 species